rnacentral:tRNA from 1 species
GCGCGAGUAGCUCAGUUGGUAGAGCAUCAGCUUCCCAAGCUGAGGGUCGCGGGUUCGAACCCCGUCUCGCGCUCCA